rnacentral:rRNA from 1 species
UACAGAGGGUGCGAGCGUUAAUCGGAUUUACUGGGCGUAAAGCGUGCGUAGCGGCUUUUAAGUCGGAUGUGAAAUCCCUGAGCUUAACUUAGGAAUUGCAUUCGAUACUGGGAAGCUAGAGUAUGGGAGAGGAUGGUAGAAUUCCAGGUGUAGCGGUGAAAUGCGUAGAGAUCUGGAGGAAUACCGAUGGCGAAGGCAGCCAUCUGGCCUAAUACUGACGCUGAGGUACGAAAGCAUGGGGAGCAAACAGGAUUAGAUACCCUGGUAGUC